rnacentral:snoRNA from 1 species
GCCAGUUCUUGGAAUAAAACAUUUUGCUGCUGCUCUGGUUUGCACUUGGAGGGGAUGACAACAUCCCUGUGCCUUCUGCCUGUCCUUGUUGCAACCAAGAUUCAAUUGGGGAAUAUAUCU